UUCAUCUCAAUCUCAAUUCUGCAAUAUUCUUCUCAAUUCGAGCUAUUCGUUCACCCGAUCGAUUCAAUUCAUUUCAUUUUGAUUCCUCCUGAAUUGAGCUAUUCGAUCUAUUCAAUCGUUGAUUCCUCCAAAAUCGUUGAUUUCUCUGCAAUCACACCACAAAUUCGAGCUAUUCAAUUGUUGAUUUCUCUGCAAUCAUCAAUUCCUCUGCAAUCAGAAUUGAGCUAUUCCUCUUCAAUCAACGAUUUCUCUACAAUCGCACCACAAAUUCGGUCGAAUAUGGAUGAAUCGAUAAUCAACUUUGACUUGGAUGUUUUUCCAGAAGCAUGCCCCGACGAACUCCGGCCUAAUGUCGGUAAGAAAUUCCUUACAUUAAAUUCAUCUCAAUUCAAAAGCUAUUCAAUCACACGAUCGGCUCAAUUCAUCAGCAAUCAACGAUUUCUCACAAUUCUCUGCAACCAGCUAUUUCAAUCUGCAACGAGCUAUUUAAGCGCUAUGGAUUAUUGUCAGAUUCAGUGAUAGAUUGUUUGCCGAUUUUGUCAGAUUGCAACGAGUUUUGAUUAUGUACAAUAUUGAUUAUGAUUAGUUGUCGAGUUUUUUUUUUGGUUGAAGAGUA